CCAUAUCACGUAUAAUCACCGGUUCCCGUAUGAUCACCGAAGUUAAGCAACGGGGAGCCUGUUCACUACCUUGAUAGAUGAACGCUUGGGAAUAUCGGAUG